GUUGGAUAUCUCACCGGGAAGAGAACCACAGGGACAGUGAGAGUGACGGCCACCAGCACAGCCAGACGCACACAGAGAAUCAGGACAUCAGGGGAUCCCAUGCGACUGUAGGCAGCCAGCAUUUUUCCUGGGUGACCAAAAGCCCGAUACCCAAGCUGCUCAUAGGCCCGGAUCCCUGAAAACACAUGAACGUGGGGAGGGAUGCACAAGAAUUCCAAUGCACAUGUACUGCAGUGUAUCUGUGCAAAUGGCAAAUAAAACUCUAUUCUACGUUACAUCUGCGUGUGAUAGGUUAUGAAUGAAGAAUUGACUUUUUGACUACAUAUGCUAAGUGAAUCUGGCUCCAACUUACCAACAACUCCAGCGCUUUUCAGCAAGAGAUGGAUCGAAUACGCAGACAGAAUGGCAAUGAAAGUCAACAGGAUU